UCUCAGGGCUCCCCAAACCUCCACAGAGUCCCCUUAGAAAUCAAUAAAUAACAUUAAGCUGUGCUGGCACAUCUGACCCCUUCCAGCAGGUUCUAAUUUAGCCAGCAGAAUAAGCAUUUACAGAGCUAAUUAACAGCAAUUUAUAUCAGCAUUUUGUAAAUGACUGAUUAACUCGUGGGGGUGCCCCAUACAUACAGUCCACCCACGGCUGCAGUUCCCUUUGCUUUUCAACAGAACUUAGGCCGGCGAAAGGAAACACCCCGCUAAUUGCUUGAAUUAGAUGAAGCAGCCACCCUGCCUCGUCUAGUCCAGCUGGGCCCCACUCAGGAUGCUCAAGAUGGUUUUUGUUUUAACCCCACAUGCUGCUGGCUCCCAGAUCGCACAGACCCUGCUCGGUGUGACUUUGCCAAGCUGGUGCUGCCCAACCCUGUUGUGCUUAAAGCCAUGCAAUGUCUGGGGUCUGUGUUUUGGGGUGCAGACGUGAUGCAAUUGCACAUGAGGAUGAGGAGGGCAGGUGGCUCUGGGCAGGGUAAGUUCUUCCUCCUCACACCCCGUCUGCACCAGGGGGAUGUGGUGGGGAGGAAGGAGGCAGCAGCAGCGGCCGUGCAGCUGUCCAAGCGAAUUACGGCCACGCAGCGGCUGCGCUGGUUCCGCUCUACAGCACUCGACAGAGCACCUGGAAAUUCAUUCGUCACUGGAGGAGAAACGAAGAAACCAAGUGAGGGUGUCGAGGUGCCCUCAGCUGUCAGCGAUGCCUGAAACCUGGAGACGUUUCUGCGCCGCGGUCUGAAGGUCAGCCAAGCGUUUGAACUCCUCCAGCAGUGGUGGGAGCUGUGUGCUUCAGCAUCCCUGGACGUCUCAUCUCUCCAUUACAGCUUGCUCUGGCUAGACUAGGGAAAAUGGGGAGUAGAUCUUAUACUCCUGAUGACUUUUUUCAGUUUCCUGGCUGUUUUGGCAGGCCCAGCCGUGGCUACUGCAGGGCACUGCUUUACCAGGUACCCAGUCCCAAAUUGUGCUCCCCUCCCAGCUAACCAGGCAUGUCCCUCUCUGCAUCUCCAGCUUUCUCUGCUGCCUCAGAGCUGGCAGGGACCUCCUCUUGGGGCAGCUGGUAGGGACAUGGUGCUCACAAGGUGCUGCCACCCUGCUCUGGGUGCCGGUGCUGCCGACCAGCCUCCUCCCCUGGGCAGCAUCCCCUCGCCACGCUGCGUCUCCGAGCGCUGAGGCUCAGCUGCAGGAUGGGGGCGAU